rnacentral:lncRNA from 1 species
GCCAUCUGGGAAAUGUAAACAGGAUCAGAAGGUAGCUGGGCAGGGGAAGGAUGAGAGGGAGGGAAAAGUGUGCUAAAGGAGAAACUGAGAUCAGAGCAGGGGAAAACUGGAAGUAGCUGGCUGGGUAAAGAUCUGAGGGCACACAGCUGAUGAGAAGAUAAGUCUGAAGACUGCUUGUAUCCUAUGUGUGGGAACGCAGGAAAGAGAGGUAUGGCAACAUAAAUAGGCAGAAGGUCAGCAAAAUUUAUCACAGAGUGGCAAGAAUGAGUAGAUAAGAAACUACAAAAUAGAAUGUGAAUUCAAAUAGUCUGGACAAUGAGACUGACUGAGGAAAAGUAACUCUAUGUAUAGAAGGACUGAGAACCCAGAUGUGUUAGACAAGGAGAGAAACAUGCUGGGAUCAGUAAGUUUCUUGAGAAACAUGAAAUUGGGAUGCUGAGUCAACAGGAGGGAAGCGAAAUGGCUUCGUUUGGAUCACAAGCAGAAUAUCCCUUCAGCCACCAAGUAACUCAAACCCUUGGUAAAACCAACUCCUUGCUAAAUUCAUCACAAGCCACAGGUACAAAAACAAGAAGUCAACGCAGCAUGGCUCUCACAGCAAUCUUCUUGUGGCAACACUUCACAACACAGAGCAAGCCUCUCCCAGCUGAAGAACAAAAACUUAUCGUCACAGAAGCAGAAACAAAGCAUUAUGCAUACCUUGCUGCUUCCGUUGCCUCAGGAAAACUCAGCUCAGAUUCCGUCUGUGGUUUUCAGCAAGAAUACUGCUUUUCCCUUCUUCCCGCACAACUUUCCAGCCAGAUUGACUGAACUGCAGAAAGGUCAAAUGACUUGCUUGGAGGUCCCUUCAGAUUGUCAUCGAGUUGCCCUCAAUUUGAGCUGAAGAGAGGUCUGGUCCCUAUACUGCAGCGGAGACACAGAGAUCGGGUUUCCAGAACGCUAGCAAUCCCCAGCUUGCCGCAAAGUCAGAUGGAGACGAGUGGCCACGGAGACCACUCAGGAAGAAAAAGGAAAUAAAGAAGAGCNNNNNNNNNNNNNNNNNNNNNNN